rnacentral:rRNA from 1 species
GCCUAAUACAUGCAAGUCGAACGAGAAGCCUUGGAUUAUCUAAGGUGGAGAGUGGCGCACGGGUGAGUAACACAUGGCUGACCUGCCCCUCAGAGGGGGACAACCGGUGGAAACGCCGGCUAAUACCCCAUGCUUGCGUCCGGGUUAGAGGCCGGAUGCAGGAAGGCCGAGGCGCUGAGGGAGGGGGCUGUGGACCAUCAGCUAGUUGGUAGGGUAACGGCCUACCAAGGCGAGGACGGAUAGGGGGCCUGAGAGGGUGACCCCCCACACGGGCACUGAGACACGGGCCCGACUCCUACGGGAGGCAGCAGUAAGGGAUAUUGCGACAAUGGGCGAAAGCCUGACGCAGCAACGCCGCGUGGAGGAUGAAGGCCUUCGGGUUGUAAACUCCUUUUCUGUGGGAAGAGGAAGGACGGUACCACAGGAAGAAGUCUCGGCUAACUACGUGCCAGCAGCCGCGGUAAAACGUAGGAGGCGAGCGUUAUCCGGAUUUACUGGGUGUAAAGCGCGUGCAGGCGGUCUGGUAAGUCGAGCGUGAAAGCUCCCGGCUCAACCGGGAGAGGACGUGCGAAACUGCGAGGCUAGAGACAGGUAGAGGCGUACGGAAUUCCGGGUGUAGUGGUGACAUGCGUAGAUAUCCGGAGGAACACCAGUGGCGAAGGCGGUACGCUGGGCCUGGUCUGACGCUAAGACGCGAAAGCAUGGGGAGCGAACGGGAUUAGAAACCCCGGUAGUCCAUGCCGUAAACGAUGCUGACUAGGUGUUGCGGGUAAAAGACCGGCAGUGCCGGAGUUAACGCGAUAAGUUAGCCACCUGGGGACUACGGUCGCAAGGCUAAAACUCAAAGGAAUUGACGGGGGCCCCGCACAAGCAGCGGAGCGUGUGGUUUAAUUCGAGGCUACACGAAGAACCUUACCUGGGCUUGACAUGACGGUGGUAGGGAACCGAAAGGGGACCGACCUUCGGGAGCCGUCACAGGUGCUGCAUGGCUGUCGUCAGCUCGUGUCGUGAGAUGUUCGGUUAAGUCCGGUAACGAGCGCAGCCAUCAUCGCUAGUUACAAGUGUCUAGCGAGACUGCCCGUUCAACGCGGGAGGAAGGCGGGGAUGACGUCAAGUCAGCAUGGCCUUUAUGUCCAGGGCUACACACACGCUACAAUGG